AUGCUGUGUUCCAGCCAGUAUUCUAAACGUUUUCCCUAUAUUUCCUCCUUUGUCUUUAUAACCCUCUCUACCUUAGGAGUUGGAUACUAUUAUGAUGCCUACUUCCAGAUGACAAAACUAAGACUCAGAGAAUGCAUAUAUCUUUGGGCAAGGAUAGUAUGGGAUGAAGCCAGAUUCCUGACCAGGUUUAUUGAAAUAUAAUUGACAAAAAUUGCUACAAAGGAAAUUAAAUACCUA
rnacentral:lncRNA from 13 species